UGGGGAAUUUUGGACAAUGGGCGCAAGCCUGAUCCAGCCAUGCCGCGUGCAGGAAGAAGGCCUUCGGGUUGUAAACUGCUUUUGUCAGGGAAGAAAUCCUCUGGGUUAAUACCUCGGAGGGAUGACGGUACCUGAAGAAUAAGCACCGGCUAACUACGUGCCAGCAGCCGCGGUAAUACGUAGGGUGCGAGCGUUAAUCGGAAUUACUGGGCGUAAAGCGUGCGCAGGCGGCUUUGCAAGACAGAUGUGAAAUCCCCGGGCUCAACCUGGGAACUGCAUUUGUGACUGCAAGGCUAGAGUGCGGCAGAGGGAGAUGGAAUUCCGCGUGUAGCAGUGAAAUGCGUAGAUAUGCGGAGGAACACCGAUGGCGAAGGCAAUCUCCUGGGCCUGCACUGACGCUCAUGCACGAAAGCGUGGGGAGCAAACNGGAUUAGAUACCCUGGUAGUCCACGCCCUAAAACGAUGUCAACUGGUUGUUGGACGGCUUGCUGUUCAGUAACGAAGCUAACGCGUGAAGUUGACCGCCUGGGGAGUACGGCCGCAAGGUUGAAAACUCAAAGGAAUUGACGGGGGUCAUAGCU
rnacentral:rRNA from 1 species